rnacentral:rRNA from 1 species
UGCAAGUCGAACGGCAGCGGGAAGGAGCUUGCUCCUUUGCCGGCGAGUGGCGCACGGGUGCGUAACGCGUAUACAACCUACCUUAUACAGGGGUAUAGCCCAGGGAAACUUGGAUUAACACCCCAUAGUAAUAUGUUUUGGCAUCAUUACAUAUUUAAAACUACGGUGGUAUAAGAUGGGUAUGCGUCCCAUUAGCUUGUUGGUGUGGUAACGGCACACCAAGGCAACGAUCAAUAGCUGGUCUGAGAGGACGAUCAGCCACAUUGGGACUGAGACACGGCCCAGACUCCUACGGGAGGCAGCAGUAAGGAAUCUUGCACAAUGGGGGAAACCCUGAUGCAGCGAUGCCGCGUGAGUGAAGAAGGCCCUUGGGUUGUAAAACUCUUUCGUCGGGGAAGAAAAUGACUGUACCCGAAUAAGAAGGUCCGGCUAACUUCGUGCCAGCAGCCGCGGUAAUACGAAGGGACCUAGCGUAGUUCGGAAUUACUGGGCUUAAAGAGCUCGUAGGUGGUUAAAAAAGUUGAUGGUGAAAUCCUAAGGCUUAACCUUGGAACUGCCAUCAAAACUUUUUAGCUAGAGUAUGAUAGAGGAAAGUGGAAUUUCUAGUGUAGAGGUGAAAUUCGUAGAUAUUAGAAAGAACACCAAAUGCGAAGGCAACUUUCUGGAUCAUUACUGACACUGAGGAGCGAAAGCAUGGGUAGCGAAGAGGAUUAGAUACCCUCGUAGUCCAUGCUGUAAACGAUGUGUGCUAGACGUUGGAAACAUAGUUUUCAGUGUCGCAGCGAAAGCAUUAAGCACACCGCCUGGGGGGUACGACCGCAAGGUUAAAACUCAAAUGAAUUGACGGGGACCCGCACAAGCAGUGAGCAUGUGUUUAAUUCGAAGAUACGCGCAGACCUUACCAACACUUGACAUGUUCGUCGCGAGACCAAGAGAUUGUUUCUUCAUUUAGUUGGACGAAACACAGGUGCUGCAUGCUGUCGUCAGCUCGUGUCGUGAGAUGUGGGUUAAGUCCCGCAACGAGCGCACCCCUACCUUUAGUUGCCACCAUUUAAGUU